UACGUAUGGUGCAAGCGUUAUCCGGAUUUACUGGGUGUAAAGGGAGCGUAGACGGAUAGGCAAGUCUGGAGUGAAAGCCCGGGGCUCAACCCCGGGACUGCUUUGGAAACUGUUUAUCUAGAGUGCUGGAGAGGUAAGUGGAAUUCCUAGUGUAGCGGUGAAAUGCGUAGAUAUUAGGAGGAACACCAGUGGCGAAGGCGGCUUACUGGACAGUAACUGACGUUGAGGCUCGAAAGCGUGGGGAGCAAACAGG
rnacentral:rRNA from 1 species